rnacentral:rRNA from 1 species
UACGUAGGGUGCGAGCGUUACUCGGAAUUACUGGGCGUAAAGCGUGCGCAGGCGGUUUUGUAAGUCAGAUGUGAAAUCCCCGGGCUUAACCUGGGAAUGGCAUUUGGGACUGCAAGGCUGGAGUGCGGCAGAGGAGACUGGAAUUCCUGGUGUAGCAGUGAAAUGCGUAGAUAUCAGGAGGAAUACCGAUGGCGAAGGCAGGUCUCUGGGCUGACACUGACGCUCAUGCACGAAAGCGUGGGGAGCAAACAGG